CCCGGCGUGCCACGUGACCAACCAGGCAAGUCACGUGAGGAGGAGCCCGCAGGCGCCGGGCGUGGGGAGGGAGGGGCUCGUCGGCCUGGUUACCCUGGCUAUGGGCUGCUGGGUGCGGAGGCUAGCAGCUCGCGGGGUUUUCCCGCAGAUGGCUUAGUUUCGGGUGCUGGCCUGGACGGGGUCGUGAGCCCCCUCUUACCAUGUCUGGCUGGCGGCGACCCAGAUGCCACGUGAUGGUCAUUUGAAGACAGGCCUGUCGGAUAUCAGGAAUCCCAAGGUCCAGAUGCCUGCCUUCAGGGACCUGGGCUUUCGGCUCUCAUACCUGGCCCUGGUUGAUGGCCCCGUGCUGAGCAGUGCAUGUGAAGACACACAUGUGCGCAUGGGCUGGAGUUUCUGUGCAGCGUGUGCCUAGAAUUGGAUUCUCCAGUUCGUGGGCUGUGAGCAAAUCCCACUUUGUUAGAAGAUGCUCCUGACUUUCCGAAGUGGCCGACGGAAGCCAGGCUGUCGUAGGAGGCUCCGUGCCCAGUGUGGAGCCCAAUGCGGGGCUUGAACUCACGAUCCUGAGACAAGACCUGAGCUGAGAUCAAGAGCUGGGCGAUUAACUGACUGAGCCACCCAGGUGCCCCCUGUUCUGUCUAGUUAUUAUGAGGUUGUCUCUUACUUGUUGAUUACUAGAGUUCUUGUUGUGUUCUAGGUACUCGCACUUUUGGGGGGUUACGUGAGCUACAGAUAUCCUGUUCUGCAUCAUGCUCUUAGAGUUUGCUCUAUGAGACUUGCACGAGAAACUUUUUAACUGUCAUUUCAAGCAGACAUAAAACACAGAAAACACAAUAAACCCCUCCACUCCCGUCACCCAUUUCAACAAUUGUGUAAUGUUGUGUGAUGAGCAGAACUUCUUAAUUUUUGUUUCAGCCGCUCUGUGAACCCCUUUAUUCAGGGUUAGUACUGUCUGCCUCUUGUUUAAGAUGAGGGCUUGAAGGUAUUCUUCUACGUUUUCUUUUGAAAGAUUUUAAUAUUAUCUUUUACAUUUAGGCCUUGAAGCUUAAAGCUACUUGAAGCUGAUUUAUGUACAAUAAGGGAAAAGACUCCUUUUUUCCCAUAUGGAGACCUCGCUGUCCCAGCACCCUUUCUGAAGGAGCCCGUCCUUCCCCACCUAACCUAGGUCAGCACUUCUGUUAAAAAAUCACAGACAUGGGGUGUCGGGGUGGUUCAGUGGGUUAAGCGUCUGCCUUCAGCACUGGUCAUGAUCCCGGGGUCCUGGGAUUGAGUCCCAUGUCCGGCUCCCUGCUCGGCAAGGAGCCUGCUUCUCCCUUUGCCCCCUUCCCUGCUUGUGUGUGCUUUCACUCUCUUUCUCUCUCUCUCUCUCUGUGGAAACAAAUAAAUAAAAUCUUUUUUAAAAAACGGCAGAUAUGCCUGGGUCUGUUUCUGGGCUCUUCUUUCCACACCAGUGGCUCUCAUGCUAGAACCAAGGUGUCUUCGUAAGCAGGCUGUUGGUGUCUGGCUUGAUUACUGGUCAUAGUCAUAACAUGGCUUGCCUGAUUGCCAUCUCUUGUUGGGACUUGAUUUAUUGUCCAGUAUAGGACAUUUCUGUAAAGGUCCUGUGUGUUCCUGAAAAGAGGAUGUGUUAUGCAGUGUUGGGUGUGUUGUUCUACAAGUUGCCUACCUGGCCAAGUUCAAGUGUUGUUCAAACAUACACUUUAUUUUUCCAGUUGAUUCUUUUUUUUUCUUCAGUUGUGAUUCUAUAUUCUUAUUGAUUUUUCAUCUGUUUGUUCUAUCAACGACCAAGAGAGAUG